rnacentral:rRNA from 1 species
CAGCCGCCGCGGGAAAACGUAGGGUGCGAGCGUUAAUCGGAAUUACUGGGCGUAAAGCGGGCGCAGACGGUUACUUAAGCAGGAUGUGAAAUCCCCGGGCUCAACCUGGGAACUGCGUUCUGAACUGGGUGACUAGAGUGUGUCAGAGGGAGGUAGAAUUCCACGUGUAGCAGUGAAAUGCGUAGAGAUGUGGAGGAAUACCGAUGGCGAAGGCAGCCUCCUGGGAUAACACUGACGUUCAUGCCCGAAAGCGUGGGUAGCAAACAGGAUUAGAUACCCCCGUAGUCCCUGUCUCUUAUCC